UCCAGUGGUGGGAAAGAUAAUGAGCUGAUGGCCUCCCAGUCCAGUGGUGUAAAGAUAAUGAGCUGAUGGCCUCCCAGCCCAGUGGUGUAAAGAUAAUGAAAUGAGCUGAUGGCCUUCCAGCCCAGUGGUGUAAAGAUAAUGAGCUGAUGGCCUCCCAGUCCAGUGGUGUAAAGAUAAUGAGCUGAUGGCCUCCCAGUCCAGUGGUGUAAAGAUAAUGAGCUGAUGGCCUCCCAGUCCAGUGGUGUAAAGAUAAUGAGCUGAUGGCCUUCCAGCCCAGUGGUGUAAAGAUAAUGAGCUGAUGGCCUUCCAGCCCAGUGGUGUAAAGAUAAUGAGCUGAUGGCCUCCCAGCCCAGUGGUGUAAAGAUAAUGAGCUGAUGGCCUCCCAACCCAGUGGUGUAAAGAUAAUGAGCUGAUGGCCUCCCAGCCCAGUGGUGUAAAGAUAAUGAGCUGAUGGCCUCCCAACCCAGUGGUGUAAAGAUAAUAAGCUGAUGGCCUCCCAACCCAGUGGUGUAAAGAUAAUGAGCUGAUGGCCUCCCAGCCCAGUGGUGUAAAGAUAAUGAGCUGAUGGCCUCCCAGCCCAGUGGUGUAAAGAUAAUGAGCUGAUGGCCUCCCAACCCAGUGGUGUAAAGAUAAUAAGCUGAUGGCCUCCCAACCCAGUGGUGUAAAGAUAAUGAGCUGAUGGCCUCUCAGCCCAGUGGUGUAAAGAUAAUGAGCUGAUGGCCUCCCAGCCCAGUGGUGUAAAGAUAAUGAGCUGAUGGCCUCCCAACCCAGUUUUGUAAAGAUAAUGAGCUGAUGGCCUCCCAACCCAGUGGUGUAAAGAUAAGAUGGAGUAAAGUAGCAGAGGGGAUGGAGGACGGAGGGAUGUGGAGUGGAAAGAGGAAUCCUUGGAGACAAGAAGCAGAAACAGAAAGGAAAAGAUGAGUCGUUCCACGAAGAGUUUCCUUUGAUAUUUUAAGGUCAACUCUGUGACCUGCUCCCGUUCCCCUCCCUGUUGCUAGAAGGUGCCAGGCUCUCCAGCAUUAGGCACUCCUGCCACCAUCAUUUACGCUGCUUGUCCAGCGCCCGUGCCUCGGCCGGCCCGUCAGGAUCGCCCAGGUGCUACGCCGAGUGGCGCCCCUAGAGAGGGGAGGGGGGGUACUGUCACACCUGCUCCCUUUCCCCUCCCUGUUGCUAGAAGGUGCCAGGCUCUCCAGCAUUAGGCACACCUGCCACCUUCAUUACGCACACCUGCCACCUUCAUUACGCACACCUGCCACCUUCAUUACGCACACCUGCCUUUCCACCGUCACGUGCAUCAGCGAUUAUUGGACUCACCUGGACUCAAUCACCUCUGUCAUUACCUCCCCUAUAUAUGUGUGGUUCCUCGCUCUAUUCCCUGCUGCAGCAUUCAUUGUCAUAUGUCCUUGUUUACCCGGUGCUGACGCUGGUCCUGGUUUGUUACCUGUCUGUUCCGUAUUAAAUGUCAACUCCCCGUACCUGCUUCUCAUCUACAUCGUCGGUCCUUACAGUGAGCAGAACUCUCGUUUUAAAGGUCUCAGCGAUAUGAUGUAGAUACAGAAAGUAAACAGCUUAGUGGGUCAAUUCUCACAACAUCUAAGAGCGUUGAAGUGCAAAUCUCAACCCCUCCGCUCUUUUGAUGCCCUGGCUACCACGCUGUACACAGUGUGAAGUGUACCCGUGCACAUGCGUAGAUACUGUGUGUGAGAGUGAAAUGUUGCAUCUCGCCCAUCUCAAUAUCUCCGGCGUUGCUUGUGGCAACAUCAUUUUGCUGAGUCUACCUUUAAUUAACAUGGGGAAACUAUUCUUUUUUAAAUCGAUUUUUCAAAAGAAACAUUGAACAUCUAAUAGUCAAAUCAUAUUGCAAAAGCAGGUGAGCUGGUUCUACUCUUCUUGGAAAUGUUGUGGUGGAAAGCUGAGCAGAUUGUGUAUAAUGUAGAUAAGAUAUAAAUGUUUUAACAAUAAAUACAACAUUUUGAA